rnacentral:rRNA from 1 species
GGGCGAAAGCCUGACGCAGCCACGCCGCGUGAGUGAUGAAGGCCUUCGGGUUGUAAAGCUCUGUCGGAGGGGACGAAUACUGACGGUACCCUCAAAGAAAGCACCGGCUAACUCCGUGCCAGCAGCCGCGGUAAUACGGAGGGUGCGAGCGUUGCUCGGAAUUAUUGGGCGUAAAGCGUACGCAGGCGGCUUCAUAAGUCGGGUGUGAAAGCCCAGGGCUCAACCCUGGAAUGGCGCCCGAGACUGUGGGGCUUGAAUGCGGGAGAGGGAAGCGGAAUUCCUGGUGUAGCGGUGAAAUGCGCAGAUAUCAGGAGGAACACCGGUGGCGAAGGCGGGUCUCUGGGCAGUAACUGACGCCGAGGAGCGAAAGCGUGGGUAGCGAACAGGAUUAGAUACCCUGGUAGUCCACGCCGUAAACGGUGGGCGCUAGGUGUGGGUUUCCUUCCACGGGAUCCGUGCCGUAGCUAACGCAUUAAGCGCCCCGCCUGGGGAGUACGGCCGCAAGGCUA